rnacentral:rRNA from 1 species
CAGUAGCCGCGGUAAUACGAAGGGUGCAAGCGUUACUCGGAAUUACUGGGCGUAAAGCGUGCGUAGGUGGUGGUUUAAGUCCGUUGUGAAAGCCCUGGGCUCAACCUGGGAAUUGCAGUGGAUACUGGAUCACUAGAGUGUGGUAGAGGAUUGUGGAAUUUCCGGUGUAGCAGUGAAAUGCGUAGAGAUCGGAAGGAACAUCUGUGGCGAAGGCGACUAUCUGGGCCAACACUGACACUGAGGCACGAAAGCGUGGGGAGCAAACAGGAUUAGAUACCCCGGUAGUCCCUGUCUCUUAUAC